CUCACGCAGCCAUCUCUUCCUCACCCAUUCUUCCAUCCAAAAUCUGAGAAAAGAAAUCGCAAAUACCGUGAGUUCAACAUCCAAUCUGCUGUUAUUUUCUUAUCUUCUUCCACAAAGUUUGAGAGGAGAAACCGAGACUUAUCAUGAAAUCAAUUCUCCUGACUAGACAAUUUUUUCUUCCGAAGGUAUUUAUACAAAUUCCUGAAAUUCUCUGCAUUUCACAUCAUAGUUAUAUAUAUUCAUAGUAGUUCACGGCUAGAAAAGAUUUAGUCUUGAAUUUCUUGAAACUUGUUGAAGGAUAUUUUUUUUUUCCGCCUAAAGCUCCGAUCUUUGAUGCUUUAGAAGUUGCCAUUUUAUAUCUCUUUUCAACCUAAAUUCUGUGAGAUACCUCUGCCCAUUAAUAAGUGAAAUCAAACAAAUAGAAUUUCUAAAUUUUGGGGAAAACAAAGAGGGACUUACCAGUUGUGGGUAGCGGCGCCGCCGAGGACGGAUGCUGAGCCGGUUGGAGCUUAGCGGCGACGGAGGGGCAGUGACAGUAGCUAUGGAUGUUUUCCUUAAUUUUUUAAGAUAGUAGAUAGGAAGGGAGAUGAGCUUGCUGUUUCUGAUUUGGGAAUUUGAGAUGAAAAUUGAGAGGAGUUAGAGAUGAGAGAGAGACGAGUUGUGCCGUUGAGGUUGUCUGUUCUUUUUGAGAUUUAUGAGAGAGAUACGAUGGUGGUGACAAGGAGUAUACUUUUUACCCUUUUAUUUACUUGUCAUUUUCUUUAGUUUCAUUUAUGUAAUGGGCCACUUUAAUUUCAUGAAUUGGGCCUCUAACUAAAUUCUUUGUAUAAUAGGCUUACUGGGGCAUUUGUCUAGAAGUGGACCAGUUUAAUUGUUUAGGUGGUUUGGUAGUAUGGUGUAUGGAGUUGUGUAGGAAGUUGUACGUGAGUUUGAUUGGGAGUAUAGUAUCUAUGUACUUUAUUCUUUUGGCAUAUGAUUUGUUUAGGCCAGUGAAUUGUUUGCUAAUUGCAAUCGAAUUUCGUUUCGGCCAAUUUAACAGUACUUGCUUAGUUUGGGGGUUUAAUUAAUUAUUUCGGGCCGUUUAUUUGGCGAUGAAUUAAAUCAUGAAAAUAUGAGAACCUUAUAUUUAUGGGAUUUAGAAUUUAGUCGCUUGGUCUAUUUUUUUUAGUAAUAACCGAGAGUUCAAGUAUGUCGGCCACCAUUGGGUUUUGUGUUUGAUUGAUGAGUCUGUUUUAUUAUUUAUGUACGAUGGAUAAAUUUUUCACACCCACAUAGGAUGCAUGCAUUGUCUUUAAUUAAAUUAUUUAGCAAAGCCUGAUUUUUUGCAUAUCAUGUUUUUAAAAAAAAGGGUGAACUUUUGCACGUUGUUGAGGUUGGGACAGGAAGUUGGUGGAGGAGCUAAGCUUUUGAGAUUGAGCGACGACGGGUGUGGAGGAUGUUGAGCAGAAUUCAUGGAUUAUUUAUGUUUGGCUUAAUAUUGUUAGAUAUGUCGUGUCUUCAUACUCGGCAUUUUCCGUGUCUUGAACGCUUCCGCUAGGUGUCUUUUCUUCAAAAUUGUUUUAGUAUUGAGAACCUAACUCUUUUCAAAAUUGUCUACUUUCUAGUCUUUAUUUCUUAGAAUUGGUACUUUGUUGAAAUGAUACUAUGUUGUUUUCUAAGUUA